GGUUUUUAGAAAUUAUUAAAAAUCUAACCUGCUCAAUGCUAAGUAAAUAGCCGCGGUAUUUUGACCGUGCAAAGGUAGCAUAAUCAUUAGUCUUAUAAUUGAAGACUGGAAUGAAUGGUUUAACUAAAUUACAUUGUCUUAUAAUAAUAUCUUUAAUUUUAUAUUUUGGUAAAAAAGCUAAAAUAUCUUUUAGGGACAAGAAGACCCUAUUGAGCUUAACAAAUUCAAAGAACAUAUUUUUCAUAAAAUAAUCUUUAUUUGUUCUACUGGGGCAGUAAAAAAAUAAAAAUUUUUGUUUAAAUAUUGUGAACUAUAAUUCUUGUCAAACCAAAAACUUUCUAAAAAAAAAUAAGUUACCGUAGGGAUAACAGCGUAAUUUUUCUUUAGAGAACAUAUCAUCAGAAAAGUUUGCGACCUCGAUGUUGGAUUAAGAAACCUAUUUUACGCAGUAGUAAAAAAAGGAAGUCUGUUCGACUUUUAAUUUCUUCCA
rnacentral:rRNA from 1 species